UACAAAAACAAAUGUUAAUCCAAAGGUCAUGAUAAUGUCAUUUUUUUUUUUUUUUUUUUUUUAAAAGCACUGAAUUUCCCAAGCUUCUUCUAAGCCAGAUUUCUUAACUUUCAUUUGGUGGAUGGGACACUGGAUACACAAGGAGAAGCACAUGUAUCUGAGUUACCAAGCAAAUCACUCACGGAACUGACACUGAAUACAAAAGGUUAAUUAAUCUAGGAUCUGUUUUUCAGUCAAGGCUCAUCUUUUACUCUUUCAGGAUUUAGUCACAUCCUUUAUAUGUUCUCUGUUCUCCUCCAGACCAUAUACUGCACACCAUCAUGUUUUUAAGAAUGCAGAAGAAUGCCAAACCUGAGUGACAGAUUACGUCAGUUAUCAACUAAGUACAGGCCAAACCAGUAACCGAGGUGAGUGAAGAGAGAAAAACCAGAAUUGCUGGGAUCGGAUUCCAGUUACCCUGCUUAUCUUGUAAGCUUUCAAAUUAUUUAGUUCAUCACCAGUUUUAUGCAAAAGACAACAGAUAAUUGCACCUUAGCCAGUUGUUUAUACUGGAGGGCCCACAGAAGGCUGUACUCUCUAAAUGUUUUUUUUCCAAAACCAAUACUUACUGCUGGCUACUCUCCAGCUUUGGGGAGUAAAUGAUAAGAGCCCUUUUUACACCUUCCUAUUUCUUCUCUGUCAGUACGACUGUUUCACCUGGUGGUAAUUUCUCCUAGGCUGACAGUUUAAGAAACAAACCUUUUAUUCUGGAAGGCCUAGUUCAGACUUAAAUGUUAUAUAGAAUACAAUAAGCAGUAGAAAGGCAGCUAUCUGAAGACAGAAAAAAGUAAAUAUUAGAAUCGUCAGAACUUAGUAACCUUUUUGGUAUUUAGUAGUCUUUAUAUGAGUAACAGACUAAACACAGACAUGACUUAUUCUUAACCCUCAUUAAAAACAUACUUAGGGAGGGAAAGUGUCACCACUAUUUCACAAGAAGGGAAAACUGAGGCCAGUAUACUUAACAGUGUAUGUGACAGUAAUAUAAAAGGCUGCAUGGUUUUGUCUCUUGACAUUCAGUCAAUUUCUUAACACUAUCUCACCACAAACACAUUAAUGAUGCUCUGAAACUUUCUGGGAUGCCAAAAAAAAAAAAAAAAGGAUACUUAAUCCUUGACAAGUUACCAAUUAAAAGUAAACAAAAGCCAUUAACUUUCAAUUGUAGGAGUUAUACAUGCAUCUUAAACAGAAUUCCAUCAGCUAAGAAAAGGACUGCAGACACAGGAGCACUAGAGGGGAGCUCUGUGCAAGCAAGCACUCAGCCCUGCUCACUGCUGUGGUCUCUGCAUCCACACGCGCCCACAUAUGGGGACUUUCAAUAAACAGAGCUGAGUGAAUACUGUUGUUUUCUUUGACUCUUUCCCUCAAUGUACACUUCAGAGAUUAAAAAAAAAUCAGCAGCAAACCAUAUAUUUAAGUCAUAUUUGAAAAAUUUUUCACAUGGUGAAGUUCUUUCCUUCUGUUCUUAAAUAUUCUUUAAGAUUCCACAUAUUUAUGUAACCAUUUUUAUACAGCUGGAAGAAAUUCUCUAUCUGUAAAUGUGGAUAAUGGAAUGGACCUCAAAGCAUGGAUCAGCGAUCACAUUUGUUUGUACAAAGGCAAAAGACAAGUAAUGUCACAUGCAGUUGUGAUCUGGUGACCAUAUAGCCACUGUGAGGUUAUCUUUUUUACAUAAGAGGAACUGAAGGGAGAAGUUCAAGGUCACAGAGUUUUUUGGUGGCACAGGGAGACCUGAUCUUCAGGUGUCCUAUAUACCACUUCUCCUAAAGAGUCCUGGAGAUGGGGUGAAGGGGUGGGGGUAGGGAAGUAACAGGCACAUCCCUUAAGAAUUUUCACUGGCAUCCCACCUCUGAGCUACAAUUCUGUACUGUGAGCACUAUGGGUACCAGGAGAAAGGGAAAGUUAGAUGUGGGAGAAAAAAAACCAUAGCUCCUAAUUCUUAGUUUAAUUCCAAGCAAAGUUAAUAUUCUGAGAUCUGAGAGGUUCUUACAGCCAAAUUUCAGCCACGUUCAACUCCUCUGCUCCCUCCCCCUUGGUGAAACCAACGGAUGCUUCCCUGUUUAUUUCACUUGCACUUUUAACCCUGUAUGAUUCCCUUUUUCAAUGAGCACCAUCUUCCAACCUCACACCAGGAGAUGGGAAGCAGGACACGACUGAACUCC